GCAAUAUGUCUAACUCCUCAAAAGCAUAAUAAUCGUGAUAUAUAUGUCAGGGCUUGGAUGUCUUGCUCCAUAGCCCUGCUCUGAUGGCAGGCACGUGGCGUCUCUUAGAGUGGCUCUGUUUGAUACCGGCAGCCUUCCUUGGCAGAUGCUCUUCAACAUUUGGGGGUCUCCAUUACAACGUAGGUUCCACAUUCAUAGUUCCACUUAUUGACAUCUUGGGGGCUCCCUGCAGGGAAUUCUAUUUUAUUAUACACUGGCUAGCCUUACAGUCUUUUUCUUUCAAAAAAAGAACCUGUGGGUAAACUCUCUUGACCCUUUAAUUCCUGUGUGCUGUGUGCCAUGUGGGCAACACUGAGUUCUCCUGCAGCUGGAGAAGUAUCUUGCCCUGAUUGAACCCUAGUUGCAGCAACCUCUGAAUGCUAGGAAAACAUCCUAGGUAGCCCCUUUACUGCAUGGUGCCUUGGAAGCAUGCUAACUUAAAAUUGUAUGUAUGCAUGUGCAGAUGUGUGUUUAUCUGUGUAUCUGCGGGGGUGCAUGUAUACGUGUGUGGUUUGUGUAUGUGCCUGUGUAUGUGCAUCUGUGUAUGUAUGUGUGUGCAUGUGUGUUCAUGUUUGUGGUGUGUGUGUGUGUGUGUGUGUGUGUGUGUGUGUGGUGUCUGGUAUCUGUAUGUGCUGUACAUGAGUGUGUAUGUGUAUGUGUGGGUGAAUAUGUCUCUGCUGUGUGCAUGUAUGUGUAUGUGUG
rnacentral:lncRNA from 1 species